rnacentral:rRNA from 1 species
GAUGAACGCUGGCGGCGUGCCUAAUACAUGCAAGUCGAGCGAACAGACGAGGAGCUUGCUCCUCUGACGUUAGCGGCGGACGGGUGAGUAACACGUGGAUCACCUACCUAUAAGACUGGGAUAACUUCGGGAAACCGGAGCUAAUACCGGAUAAUAUAUUGAACCGCAUGGUUCAAUAGUGAAUGACGGUUUUGCUGUCUCUUAUAGAUGGAUCCGCGCCGCAUUAGCUAGUUGGUAAGGUAACGGCUUACCAAGGCGACGAUGCGUAGCCGACCUGAGAGGGCGAUCGGCCACACUGGAACUGAGACACGGUCCAGACUCCUACGGGAGGCAGCAGUAGGGAAUCUUCCGCAAUGGGCGAAAGCCUGACGGAGCAACGCCGCGGGAGUGAUGAAGGUCUUCGGAUCGUAAAACUCUGUUAUUAGGGAAGAACAAAUGUGUAAGUAACUAUGCACGUCUUGACGGUACCUAAUCAGAAAGCCACGGCUAACUACGUG